CGGGGUGCAGCAGGCGCGAAAACUUUACAAUGCGGGAAACCGUGAUAAGGGAACUCCGAGUGCCCGUAAAAUCGGGCUGUCCAUCUGUUUAAAUAACAGGUGAAGAAAGGGCCGGGCAAGACCGGUGCCAGCCGCCGCGGUAAUACCGGCGGCUCGAGUGGUGGCCACUAUUACUGGGCUUAAAGCGGUCGUAGCUGGUCUGUUAAGUCUCUGGGGAAAUCUACUGGCUUAACCAAUAGGCGUUUCAGGGAUACUGGCAGACUAGGGACCGGGAGAGGUGAGGGGUACUCCAGGGGUAGGAGUGAAAUCCUGUAAUCCUUGGGGGACCACCUGUGGCGAAGGCGCCUCACCAGAACGGCUCCGACAGUGAGGGACGAAAGCUGGGGGAGCAAACCGGAUUAGAUACCCGGGUAGUCCCAGCCGUAAACGAUGCGCGUUAGGUGUAUCGGUGACCACGAGUCACCGAGGUGCCGAAGAGAAAUCGUGAAACGUGCCGCCUGGGAAGUACGGUCGCAAGGCUGAAACUUAAAGGAAUUGGCGGGGGAGCACAAGGGCGAAUCGCGG
rnacentral:rRNA from 1 species